GUGCAUUCAGACCGAGGAGGAGCAAGAGUCGUGACUCCAGGCAAGACAGGCUGCAUUUGUCCCAGGCUCCCCUCUGUCUGAGUUUUGGAAUAUAAACAUAGGAUUAAAGUAUGAUCUCUGCACCCAUUGGACAUCUUGGUUUUGUGUUUGUUUCUACGAAACACAUAAGGACAAUGAUGAAGAUGAAGAGAGAGGGAGACUGGCACCAAAUUGUUACACCAGUGCUUGCAAUUGGGCUCUACCAUACUGGGGCUUCACCCCCAUAAGACUGGAACCAAACCUGUUUUCCAUGAUCCUGACAAUACCAAAUGUGGCUCUAUACUUGAUGUAGAAUUUUAACAAAUUUUAAAGAUUAGUGUUAUAUAUUGUGAUUUGCUUAAUACAAGUUCAUUAAAUUUUAUAUCAAGGUCAAA